AACGAACGCUGGCGGCAGGCCUAACACAUGCAAGUCGAGCGCGUGCAGCAAUGCACGAGCGGCGCACGGGUGAGUAACGCGUGGGAAUCUGCCCUAUGGUGGGGGACAACCUCGGGAAACUGAGGCUAAUACCGCAUACGUCCUUCGGGAGAAAGACUUCGGUCGCCAUAGGAGGAGCCCGCGUCCGAUUAGCUAGUUGGUGAGGUAACGGCUCACCAAGGCGACGAUCGGUAGCUGGUCUGAGAGGAAGGCCAGCCACACUGGGACUGAGACACGGCCCAGACUCCUACGGGAGGCAGCAGUGGGGAAUAUUGGACAAUGGGGGAAACCCUGAUCCAGCCAUGCCGCGUGAGUGAUGAAGGCCUUCGGGUUGUAAAGCUCUUUUGGCGGGGACGAUGAUGACGGUACCCGCAGAAUAAGCCCCGGCUAACUUCGUGCCAGCCGCCGCGGUAAGAC
rnacentral:rRNA from 1 species